rnacentral:lncRNA from 1 species
GGGGCAUUGGAAGAAGAAUUGUCCUCAGUACAUUGCUUCCAUGGACUCGAACAGGCAGAGAAAAAAGCAAGCUGUUGCUGGACAAAGGUAUUUAUAUGAUAACUCCUUGUAAUUUUUCUAUUUGUGAUAUAACUAACUGGGUAUUGGAUACCGAUAGUCCUUAUCAUAUUUGCAAUUCGUUGCAGGGGUUGCAGGUCAGUAGGAGAUUCGAGCAAGACAAGAGGUUUCUGAAUGUUGG